rnacentral:rRNA from 1 species
GACGAACGCUGGCGGCGUGCUUAACACAUGCAAGUCGUACGGUAAGGCCCUUUCGGGGGUACACGAGUGGCGAACGGGUGCGUAACACGUGAGUAACCUGCCCACAACUUUGGGAUAACGCUAGGAAACUGGUGCUAAUACUGGAUAUGUGCUCCUGCUGCAUGGUGGGGGUUGGAAAGCUCCGGCGGUUGUGGAUGGACUCGCGGCCUAUCAGCUUGUUGGUGGGGUAGUGGCCUACCAAGGCGGCGACGGGUAGCCGGCCUGAGAGGGUGACCGGCCACAUUGGGACUGAGAUACGGCCCAGACUCCUACGGGAGGCAGCAGUGGGGAAUAUUGCACAAUGGGCGCAAGCCUGAUGCAGCAACGCCGCGGGCGGGAUGACGGCCUUCGGGUUGUAAACCGCUUUCAGCAGGGACGAAGCUUUUUGUGACGGUACCUGCAGAAGAAGCACCGGCUAACUACGUG